AUUGAUAAAUAUUUAUAUUUUAAUCUGUGUUUUGAGUGAGCAGGAUGCUUUGAUCAGGAUGAGACAAUUAAAGCAGGAAAAAUCAUCUUGGGCCGGAGGAAAACAUGUUAGAAGAUUGGAUGUCGGGUCGGAGGAACGGUCGACGUAUCGACAGAAGGCUUUGGGCCGUAGAUUCGGGCAUCAGGCCAAGAAGAACAGAUAUUGUGCCAAGGAUAUCAGAGUUGCGGAGUCAACUGGUCGAUUGGGCAAUAGGCCGCAAGAGAGGACGAUACGCCGAAGAAUCGGACGAAGCAUCGAGAGACCAAUGACAUGUCGGACAACUUGAUUAAUGCUUAGUAUUAAUUGUCUAGAU
rnacentral:lncRNA from 1 species